AAUCACCUCUUUAUUACAAUCGAUAGGGGUACAAGGGGAUUACAUCGACACGACGACACUACACCUACCAAGGUUUCUCUAUGCAAGCAGCAGAACAACUCAUAGCAGUGGGAUAGAUUCUAGCAGCGGAACAACGAUGAUGACGAUGGACUCCACUCCGUAGGGACUCUGGCUGGAACAUUUAUCCUAGCUCGCAAACACAAGAUUAUCGGCAAAACAAGCAAGCAGACAAGGCAUGACCUGCAAACUGGCAUGACAUGCUAGGUCAGUACAUUGAAUGUACUUGCAAGCUCACAGCAACCAAAGCAAUCAAGACAAACAACAGCAUGGCAAUUACAGGUUACUUAGCAAGGAUGAACAUGAUACAGCUAGAGGAACAAGGCAUGGACAUGGUGAACAAGAUAGCACUAGAACAAGAACAGAUGAGCAUGGCAUUAGAACAUGAUGAUACUAGCAUGCAACAUGUUAACAAUAUCAUGCACCAACUUACUCUGUUCGGGGUUACCUCGUAACCAUCACAUGAACCACUUACCAUCAUGGUCAUCACACGAUCACCUCAGGAUCAAAUCGAGCUUGGUAUUAACAAUACCGUAGUAAUCAUUGCAUGACCACAAGGAGCUUGAUCUUUACCCUUGAUUAUCGCAUAAUACCAUAAACCUCAACCAUCUUCGGUAUCCUCGAUACCACUGUGAUCCUCUCGCGAUCACAUAAGAAUCAACCACUUCUUUCAUCAUCAAACCGGGGUUCUUAUUAAACAGGUUAUUAUUACUGUUGACCCAUAGUGUGACCUACUACGAACUGGGCCCAUAUCCGCGGGCGCGACUAUUGAUAGAUUAUACCCACUCUCAGAGGUUAGCACACUGUACCCACAACACAGAACCCAUGGCCUCGUGCUCCCAUUCGGGUGGACCAACGGCGUUCCGACAAAACCGAUCUGUUGCCAUGACACUCUCCCGGCCACUCCGACAAACUCCCCUUUGGGCUAAGUCAUGGUGGCCCCGAUGUCACCUCGUGACAUCCAACGGCCACCGUCGUGGCAAAACUAAACAGUCCCAAACGGGGACAACCCGGGUACAACAACAAUGGGCACACAAGGCUUAUGUCCGCCUACCUGAUCAGGGUAGCGCGCGCCCAUAACCUUCCCUAGUUGGAGGCACCGGCGAGAGGCACGACAAUAGACUGCAUUAGGGCCUUCUCAUAAAGGCAAAUGCGACUGCACUGGUCAGUUCAAUUUCGAUGGCACUAUGACUCAGCUAACAGGUGUUCAAGUUUAAUAAAUGUCCGGUUAAACUUGAAUGCGAAAGAUGCUGAGUCAUAAUAUGACAAAAUAAUAAUGCACAUGAGCAUGAUAUUAACAUAAGCAUGGAGGAGCAACAUAACCAUAUGAAUCACUAGCAUCAAUACUAAUGCAACACUUAGACUACUAAAUGCAGAUGAACAUGGCAUCAUGAUCAUAUAUAACACAUGUACUUUCAUAACAAAUGUAAUAAUGCAUCGAAGAAGAUCACUAUCACCAGCAUGUACUACCAACCAACAUGACAUAAGAGAAUAAUACCAGCAAGUAGCACAUACUAACAAGGUGCAUAAGGGCAUAACAUGAAGAUGAACAUGGAUCCACAAGCACAACCGAAACAACAAUAGCAAUAGUUAAAGGAGCAAACAUUUAUUAAAUAUUCAAGUGGAAACCAUGGCUACUGCAAAUCCAUCAUGCAAGUGACUGUCGUGGCUUGCCUGGGGAUGAAGGAACCCUCGGGGAGAAGUGCGGAAGGAUCGCAGAAAGAUUCGCUAGAAAUAGUUCUCUCCCGGAGGGGGCUGUUUAUGGGCAAGGGAAAAAUGGUCAUUUUCACUGUAUGGAAACAUUGUGAAAAUGAUACCAACAGAACGGGCUCGACGAGAUGAAUAUGUGGGCUUUGGAAUCACCUCAAUCGGAGCUACGAUCGCGAAGAUACGAGGUGUGGAAGUAUAGGGGCCAAUCUGUGAAAAAUCUUCUACAAACAAGUCCCUGGUGGAGUAAAACAGAAACGCAUUUCUCAGAUUACGUUUUCAGAAAGUGAAAACGUAUUGUAAGCCGAAGGAGAAGAGGAAUGCGUUUUCUUCAAAGGAAAGCGUAUUUCAGGAAUACGCCUGCACUGAAAACGGUCAGCGGGGCCACUGGGUCAAAGGGUGUGUCACUUACAGGUGGGGCCGGCUGGUCCUUUCUUCCUCCUCGCGCGCCCGUCUUCUUUCUCCCGACGUCCAGAGCAGAGGAGCAGGGAGGGGG
rnacentral:lncRNA from 1 species